UACGAGGGGGGCGAGCGUUGUUCGGAAUUAUUGGGCGUAAAGGGUGCGUAGGCGGUUUGGUAAGUCUUAUGUGAAAUCUACAGGCUCAACUUGUAGUCUGCAUGAGAAACUGCCGGGCUUGAGUGUGGGAGAGGUGAGUGGAAUUCCUGGUGUAGCGGUGAAAUGCGUAGAUAUCAGGAGGAACACCUGUGGCGAAAGCGGCUCACUGGACCAUAACUGACGCUGAGGAGCGAAAGCGUGGGGAGCGAACAGG
rnacentral:rRNA from 1 species